GACCACCGUCUCCCGCGGGAAGGGCAGCUGACACCGGAGACUGACACAGGACUGCCCCCGUCACUCAGCUCCCCGUCACUCAGUUGCUUCCCUGAUGCAACCCCUCUGCCGCCACCGCCCCCUACCCUCCCCCACCACCCCCCACCCCCGCCCCUCCGGCCUCAGCAAUCAGAAGCCAGAGGCCACACAGUUUCCAGCAGAGAGGAGCUUGUGACAGACCCAGGUGCUUGCUGGAACAUCAGAAGAGCUGAGGCCCACAAAGCAGGAAUGGAAACAGAAAUGUAGACGCUAAGAGCGCACAACGUAACCAAGAUCAGCGGGGAAGGGAACAUGAUUUAGGGACAACUGAG